rnacentral:rRNA from 1 species
GACAGCGGUGAUAGCAUGUUAAACGCAUCCAGUUCCCAAUCGAUCACUGAAGUGAAGCAACGUUGCGAAUGGUUCGCAUCCGGAUGAGUGACCAUCUGGACAGUCACGUGCUACUGGCC